GGCGAGCGGCGCACGGGUGCGGAACACGUAUGCAACCUACCCGAUACAGGGGGAUAUCCCAGAGAAAUUUGGAGUAAUACCUCAUAAGUUCUAGAGACGGCAUCGUUUUUAGAGGAAAGGAUUUAUCCGGUAUCGGUUGGGCAUGCGUCUGAUUAGCUAGUUGGCGAGGUAACGGCUCACCAAGGCGACGAUCAGUAGCUGGUCUGAGAGGAUGAUCAGCCACACUGGCACUGAGACACGGGCCAGACUCCUACGGGAGGCAGCAGUAGGGAAUAUUGGACAAUGGGCGAAAGCCUGAUCCAGCCAUGCCGCGUGCAGGACGAAGGCCCUCUGGGUUGUAAACUGCUUUUCUCUGGGGAUAAACCCUUGCUAUAAGCAAGGCUGAAGGUACCAGAGGAAUAAGCACCGGCUAACUCCGUGCCAGCAGCCGCGGUAAUACGGAGGGUGCAAGCGUUGUCCGGAUUCAUUGGGUUUAAAGGGUGCGUAGGCGGGCAUAUAAGUCAGUGGUGAAAGACCGGAGCUCAACUCUGGAACUGCCAUUGAUACUGUAAGUCUUGAGAGCAGACGAGGUAGCUGGAAUGUGUAGUGUAGCGGUGAAAUGCAUAGAGAUUACACAGAACACCAAUUGCGAAGGCAGGUUACUAGUCUGUGUCUGACGCUGAGGCACGAAAGUGUGGGGAGCGAACAGGAUUAGAUACCCUGGUAGUCCACACCGUAAACGAUGGAUACUAGAUGUUCGGGUGCAAACCUGAGUGUCCAAGCGAAAGCGAUAAGUAUCCCACCUGGGGAGUACGACCGCAAGGUUGAAACUCAAAGGAAUUGACGGGGGCCCGCACAAGCGGUGGAGCAUGUGGUUUAAUUCGAUGGUACGCGAGGAACCUUACCUGGGCUAGAAUGCGCGUGCUGUUCCGGGAAACCGGAAUUCCCCGCAAGGGGCACAAAGCAAGGUGCUGCAUGGCUGUCGUCAGCUCGUGCCGUGAGGUGUUGGGUUAAGUCCCGCAACGAGCGCAACCCCUAUCCUUAGUUGCCAACCGAUAGCAAUAUCGAGGGACUCUAGGGAGACUGCCUGCGCAAGCAGUGAGGAAGGUGGGGACGACGUCAAGUCAUCAUGGCCCUUACGCCCAGGGCGACACACGUGCUACAAUGGAUGGUACAAAGGGUUGCAAGCCUGCGAAGGCAAGCUAAUCUCAAAAAGCCAUUCUCAGUUCGGAUUGGAGUCUGCAACUCGACUCCAUGAAGCUGGAAUCGCUAGUAAUCGCGCAUCAGCCAUGGCGCGGUGAAUACGUUCCCGGGCCUUGUACACACCGCCCGUCAAGCCAUGGGAGCUGAGGGUACCUGAAGCCGGCAGCAAUGCCGUCUAGGGUAAAAUCAGUGACUGGGGCUAAGUCGUAACAAGGUA
rnacentral:rRNA from 1 species